rnacentral:rRNA from 1 species
GAUGAACGCUGGCGGCGUGCCUAAUACAUGCAAGUCGAGCGAACAGACGAGGAGCUUGCUCCUCUGACGUUAGCGGCGGACGGGUGAGUAACACGUGGAUAACCUACCUAUAAGACUGGGAUAACUUCGGGAAACCGGAGCUAAUACCGGAUAAUAUAUUGAACCGCAUGGUUCAAUAGUGAAAGACGGUUUUGCUGUCACUUAUAGAUGGAUCCGCGCCGCAUUAGCUAGUUGGUAAGGUAACGGCUUACCAAGGCGACGAUGCGUAGCCGACCUGAGAGCGUGAUCGGCCACACCGGAACUGAGACACGGCCCAGACUCCUACGAGAGGCAGCAGCAGGAGAUCUUCCGCAAUGAGCGAAAGCCUGACGGUGCAACGCCGCGUGAGUGAUGAACAUCUUCGGAUCGUAAAACUCUGUUAUUAGGGAAGAACAAAUGUGUAAGUAACUAUGCACGUCUUGACGGUACCUAAUCAGAAAGCCACGUCUAACUACGUG